rnacentral:lncRNA from 1 species
CCCUGACAGACCCUCAACACUCGCCCGGGGGGGCGGUAGCCCCCAGUGCAGGGGGGCGGGCUCCAUCUGCUGCUGGACUGGGGGUGAUGAGGGCCCCGGGGUGAGGGGGCCGCUGAAGGUGACGAUGCUGCAGAUCCAGCUUCCAGAGAGACCUCGCCUCCUUCCACUGCGUGCUGUCUUGUCUGUGAUUCAUCCUUUGAUGCUGAGAGUAAAGCCGGGGUCUGUUGUAACACGCUCGUGUUCAGCUCCACGGAGGGGAAUUUGAGCAGAAGGGGAGGGAAUAAUAAAACGCUUGCUUUUUUGUUCUGGAUCCCGCUGAAACGAUCCUUGCCGCGGCCUGGGUGUAGGCGAGGCAGGCUCUCCGCGCUCCUGCAUUUAGAAAAGGCAGCGGAGCCUUGCGUCGGAGGCCGUCGCGAAAACACAGAAGCCUAAUAAGGUGGAGGGUGGGCAAGCAGCCCCUCCGUGGGUGCGGGGACGGGACGGAGCAUCCAGGUGUCGGGUUCCAGCCCCCUCAGGGUGCCUGGCCCAGAGGAGCCACGCUCGCUCGCCCUCACCUCGGAGGUUCAGACAUGCACGACGGUCCCGCCUGCCAAGGGAAACACUGACGUCACCCCAGGAACAAAAGGAUUCCAUGUCAGUGUUUUUCGUGGGACUAAUGCUCCCAGAAGCAAAGAAACAGCCUCCCAGUGACUUAGCCGAAGCAGAACGUAGGCGACCUGGCGCGGGAGCCACCCUGCUGCAUUUAACAGGCCUUAGAGCCUGGCCUGGAGGGUCCCGGGCCCAGGGCAGGAGCCCGGCAGGUGCUGCGAGACCCCCUUACCAGCCCAUCCCUUGGGCUGCAGGUGAGGGGCCGGGGCAGGCUGGAAAGGGGGUGACCAGCUCCCCCACCCCACCCCCGGGGACAGCACAGUUCCUUGGCCCCGCCUGUCGGGACACCGGGCAGCAGGUAGGAAACAGGUCUCCGGGGGCGGGCGCACAUCACUGGUUAACGGGGCCUCUUCUGCUCUCAGGUGGGAACCCUGAGGUGCCAAGGUCAAGGUGGGCCCGCAGCUGCUCCCUCCCCACCCCUCCCUUUGGUUUUACCUUCCUGAACACUAUUUCAUUUUUUUUUUUUUUGCAUUUUUUCAAUUUAAAGUCAAUUUGCCAACAUCUAGUGCAACCCCCUGUGCUCAUCCCAUUGCGUGCCGUCCUCAGUACCCGUCACCCGGUCACCCCGUCCCCCCACCCUCCUCCCCUUCUGCAGCCCUCUGGUUCCCAGAGUCAGGAGCCUCUCAUGGUUUGUCACACAUACAAUUUAAAAACAAAAACAAAAACUCUUGCUUCUCAUUCAAACGAGGUCAUGGGCCAGCUGGGCCACAUGGCUCAGCCCCUCCCCGGCUGCCACGGCCCUGCGGGGUGCGCGCGGGGAUGCCAGGACCUGGGGUUCCGUGCUCACCUGUCACGGAGCCUCCCGGGGGCGGCCUCUCCGCCAGGCCCCUCGGUUCCCCCGUGUCUGCCCCCUGCACCCCCUGCCCCCUGGUCUUCUUUCCCCUCUUCCUCCCCCGUGCCCAAGUAGACGUGUUUGUACCCGCGGCCUCCACAAUUGGCAAGUGGAGGUCCCUGGCCUUGCAGAGUGGGGCGGGCGGGGGAAGGGGGGAGGACCUGGGGGCACCUGGGGGCUGGAGCCCAGGGAGGAGCCCCCCCAGGCUCCCUGGCUGGAGCAAGCCCCUGAGGACGGAAGGAGGACGGCCUCCUUCGCUGCAUCUCUGGGCCUCGCGGCCGCGGCUCCACAAUCCCUGCCUCUUCCUGCCUUUGAAUAAUUGGACUUAACCUCCCUUCAUCCCCCAAAAAGGUGCGUUCUGCCUGCAGCUCAGAGGAACAUUCCAUCUGGCCCCGGGGAAGGAAUUUAUAAAUAUUACCCUAGGCUCUCACCAGGCAGCUCGUAAAUCAGUGCCUGGGGCUCCCGGAACCCCCCCCCCCCCCCCGCCCGGGCUAUAUAAAGCUACAACUCUGCCUCCUGCGUUUCCAAUUUUAAGUCCAACACAGCCCAGGCCUGCUGGCUCCUGUUGAUCCUCACUGAUUCCGGGGGCUCUUCAAAGGCUCCCCGAAGCAGCCGGCUAAGAAGGACUCCGUUGUUCUCAUUGGGGAAAUGGAAAAUGGAAACUGGCGUCCGAGGUCGAGCCCGCCCUGUGAUGAGGGGGGCUGGGGGGGACCUGGGGGUGUUGCUCCACCAAAACCCUGAGCGCCAGCAACCAGCAAACACGCACACGAUGCCUGAGAACGAUCAGGGCCCGGCGCCCCUACAGACCUCCCCCCGUCCGGCUGGGUGGUUUCUGCAACAAUCGGGUGGGACACCCCCCCCCCCCCCCCCCCGCAGAGGGGCCAUGGGAGCUGGGCCUGGAGCAGGAGUGGCCCUCCUACCAGGCGCUGGGUGCUGGGGGAGGGGCAGUCCGCGUCAGGCAGGAGACUCAGGCUGGAAUAAAUGUGGGAAGAACAUUUUGGGGUUUCCACACCCCGAAGAGAACUGCCUGUGGGGACAGUCAGGUCCUGCACGGUCCCCCGUACACCUUCUCCCGGCGCUUCUCUGGCUUUCUAGCAUGCCUCAGAAUUAGCAGGGAAGGAAGAGGAGCCGGGCGCAUGGCCCAGCAGGACGGGAGCACCUGAAGGCCCAGGCCAUCUUGGUUCGCCGCCGGGGGCCGCCCUGCGGGGCCGGGGAAACUGAGACUCAGUGGAGCAACUUGCCCUGGCAACGGCCCCUGCCAGCCAGCCCUCCCGCCGUGCACGAAGCUCACCCCCUGCGUCCCCACCUUCCCCACCGAGCUGGUCUCAUCCACUGGCCGCUGUGUGCCCUGGGGACUCGAGCUUGGAGGGCUUCCCAGUGAGAGAAGGACAGCUGUCACUGAGGUGUGUAGACACCCGCGGGGACCAGGCCCCACCACGCGCUGCACCAGCUCGCGUAACCCUGGGAACGGGGGGCAUGGUGGCUUCAUCGAUUAGCCUCACUUUAGAGAAGGGAAGAUUGAGACCUCAAGAGUGUAACUAACUUCCCCCAAAGUCACACAAUCCAGUCCAUCGGAGUUUGAACCCGGGGUUGAGUGGCUCCAAAGCUCCAUCUCUCCCACUGUCACCGAGAAGCUUCUCCAAGCACGCAGCCUGAGACCGAAGGCUGGCUGGUCUUAGCGAAGUUAUGGGAGCUCUAGUGGAGCUGCAGAGGGCACGCGGGCCGAGAGACAAGGAGAGGCCCAGAGGUGAUGCCCGCCUGGCAAAAGUUGGACAAAUGGGACCCAGAGAAAAGAAAGAUCUUAAAGUGCUGUUGAUGAGCAACAUUGCCUCGAGAGCCUCCGGCUCAGAGCUCAGGUGGCUACCGAGGGGGUGUCCUCUUGCCCUGGUGCUGCGGUGGUAUAAGCAGGUGCAGGGGCACAGCUAUCCCUAGGAAGCGGAGGCAGCCACCAUCAGCAGGAGAGAUGUGCCCCAGCCGCAUCUUGGGGACAGUGGACAUCCUCUGCGGGCAUCUCUCUGGCCAAAGCUGAGUCCGAGCCUUUGUCAUGAGUACAAAGCAGCUGGGCAUCCUCUGGGCCUCUCAGCCUCUGCGGGGAAGGAGAGCUCUCCCUCCCACCCAGCCUUACAUCAUGGGGGGCAGGUGAUGGGCAAUCAGAAAAGACACAUGUCCUCCAUUACGGGUUGAAUUAGGUCCCCGCCCCGCCGCUGACAUUCGUAUGUUGGAGUCUUGACCCCCAGAACCUCUGGAUGUAACCUUGUGUGGAGAUAGGGUCUCUAUGGAGGCAAUCAAGUCAAAACAAGGUCAUUAGGGUGAGUCCCGAUCCAAUAGUAUUGGUGCCCUUAUAAGAAGGGGACAUUUGGAGGUGGAGAGACAACCAACCACGUGCACACAGGGGGAAGAUGGUAGCUGUACAUCAAGGACAGUGGCCUCAGGAGAAACCGGGCUGCCCACAGCUGGAUCUCAAACUUCUGGCCUCCAGAUGAGAGACAGAAACGUCUACAGGUGAAAGCACCCACGCUGUGGCCUUUUGUGACAGCAGCCCUGGCAAAUACACCCCCAAAGGGAGGUUGGAGGGACUUGCAGCAGACCGCUUGCUUACUCUGAGUCCCAGGAGGGCCGCCGGGGACCCCCUGGGCUCUACGAGUACUGCAGUGAGUCAUACACCGUAGGUGCUGGAGAAGAUCCCAACAAGGAAGAAGAGGGGAGAGAAGGAAAGAGAAGCAGCCCUCAUGGCAUAGGAGAAGGCUUGCCACACAUUCUGACGCCACCUCCCAGACUCAGGACCUACCGUUGGAGUCAAGAGCCUGGCUCGUCACUCCCAACCUCAACACCCGCAGGGCCUACAGUCGUUGGAGUCGACGUGAUGAGGCCCA